rnacentral:rRNA from 1 species
AUUGAACGCUGGCGGCAUGCUUUACACAUGCAAGUCGAACGGCAGCACAGGGAGCUUGCUCCUGGGUGGCGAGUGGCGAACGGGUGAGUAAUGUAUCGGAACGUGCCUGGUAGUGGGGGAUAACUACUCGAAAGAGUGGCUAAUACCGCAUGAGAUCUUUGGAUGAAAGCGGUGGGCCUUCGGGCCUCGUGCUACUGGAGCGGCCGAUAUCAGAUUAGGUUGUUGGUGGGGUAAAGGCCUACCAAGCCUGCGAUCUGUAGCUGGUCUGAGAGGACGACCAGCCACACUGGGACUGAGACACGGCCCAGACUCCUACGGGAGGCAGCAGUGGGGAAUUUUGGACAAUGGGCGCAAGCCUGAUCCAGCAAUGCCGCGUGCAGGACGAAGGCCUUCGGGUUGUAAAAUGCUUUUGUACAGAACGAAAAGUCUCUGGCUAAUAUCUAGAGAUCAUGACGGUACUGUAAGAAUAAGCACCGGCUAACUACGUG